rnacentral:rRNA from 1 species
UACAGAGGGGGCAAUCGUUGUUCGGAAUUACUGGGCGUAAAGGGCGCGUAGGCGGCCUUCUAAGUCAGACGUGAAAUCCCUCGGCUCAACCGGGGAACUGCGUCUGAUACUGGGAGGCUUGAAUCCGGGAGAGGAAUGCGGAAUUCCAGGUGUAGCGGUGAAAUGCGUAGAUAUCUGGAGGAACACCGGUGGCGAAGGCGGCGUCCUGGACCAACACUGACACUGAUGAGCGAAAGCCAGGGGAGCAAACGGG